UACGUAGGGGGCGAGCGUUGUCCGGAUUUAUUGGGCGUAAAAGGCUUGUAGGUGGCCACGCAAAGUCGGAUGUGAAAUCUCCUGGCUCAACUGGGAGGGGUCUUCGGAUACUGGCGGGCUUGAGGUGAGCAGAGGUGAGCGGAAUUCUGGGUGUAGUGGUGAAAUGCGUAGAUAUCCAGAGGAACACCAGUGGCGAAGGCGGCUCACUGGGCUCCACCUGACGCUGAGGCGCGAAAGCGUGGGGAGCAAACGGG
rnacentral:rRNA from 1 species